rnacentral:siRNA from 1 species
UCAUUUUUCUUAUGACUUGUGUGC